UUCAUUCAAGCCCUGUCCACAAAGAUUAACAAUGUGUUCUGAGCAAGACUAUUACACACGAAAAAAGGGGACACGAGCCAUGAACAAAGAUUUGAUCUGUCCCCAGUGAAUUCGAAAUGCAUACCAGCAAAUCAACAGGUUCUUCUGUUGAUAUCAGUGGUGGUGUUUCUUCCUUUUUAGGCUUUUCAGGUUUCUGCUUGAUUUCGCGAUACUCCUGCAGGUAACAAAGGCAAACACUAUAACCAAAUUGGUGAAGUUAAGUUCUCACCAGCCUGUUAUUUGGCAUUGAAUCUGUCUGAGGUGCUUCUCUAAUGUAUUCCUCCAUGGUUACCAGAAACGAUGCAGGAGGCUGCAAAUUAAAGAUCAAGAAUGAAGAGAGAUCAAGUGAAGAUUGUACAUUAUCCAAAAAGGUGACAAAAAGACCUGUUUCAAUGUAGGAAACUGAAAGGUACGCGCUACAUCCAAGCCUCUGCAGAAGUCAUAAAAAUGAGCGAGAUGUUCAGCCUACAUUAAGUGGAGAAAAAAAAAAGAAGAAACUUAGAUAUCUUAUAUCAUAUCUGUAAAAAGAACAUGAAGUAGCAAGUUAAGUUCAGAAAGAGCACUGGUUAAUGAGGUAGAGAUAUCGAAGAGACAAGGAACAUCAUACAUAGUCGACAAGAUUGAUUAUUCCAUCAUUGAUUGCACAAUAUAUCUUGAAACUUUCCUUCAACACCUACAAAAAGAACAAUUAGAGGUUCAUAAGUUGAUGAACAUAAUAACAAGUUUCCGACAUGGUCCAUUUCU